rnacentral:snoRNA from 1 species
AUCUUGUGAUUUGGACAUUUCUUUAACAAUUCCUUAAAUGUGUUACAUGCUUCAUGGUAGCUUUCCCCAUCAAAUUGUUGAAAUGUAGAUAUUUCCAAUUGAAUUU